ACGAAACAGUGCUUCACCACAUCUGUGGAUUAAGCCACACAGUCAACUCAAUGCCUAAGACUGUUUGCAAGGACUGCUGCGCACGCCGGAUGUAGGCAGGCAAGCUGCAAGCAAUCAGUGAGAUGAUCCAUCAAUCAUCAUCAGACUGCAAGCCGUAUAGCCUCUACACAAAGGACCAGAUGGCUGUGUGACAUGUUUUCAGUUCUGUGCAAGGAACCACCAUCACACCAUGGUAAGUGAUAACUUACUUGUCCUCCAUUUACUAGUGUCACAAUGUAGCCAACGUGCAGCCUAUAUUAUUAUAAGUUAUAGUGAUAUUUUGUAAGCAUUUAUUUACCAAUGAGAAUAGCCUAAUGUUAUCCCUUUGCAUCUCUCCACAGGGAUACACAAAGGCUAGGGUUAAGUGAUGCUUUUGUAUCAAAUGUGUUGGCUAUAUGCAGGUCAUGUGACGCCUCUUCCGAGACACAGGCUCAGUUACUUUGCCAUUAUUAGUUAAAUCACAGUCAGUUUUCAAGGGUCAGCCCAUUACCAUGCAUACACCACUCAUGCAUUUGCUCAUUCCAAUCUAUUAAUGCACUGAACAUUCAUCUCUCACGAUUUCAUAGAGAGCAGGAGGUUGCAUAUCAGGAGCGUGAAGGAGUGAAUCUUGUAUUUACAUGUCACCUGUACUAUAGUAUUAUUUAAUAUAUGCAUAGGAUUAAUAUUCUGCUGAUUUGUCUUCCCAUUACCCCACAAUCCCUCUGUCUUUCUAGGAAGAUGUCAAUGUCAACAGCAGAAGGAAAAUUACUCUGCAGGAUUUUUUAAGACCUGGAAUGUUUGGAUGUGGAAAGUUUUUGAUUAAAUUGCAGAAGAAAUUGACCUGCCAGACUUCUCGGAUGCAGCUGUAGCUAUUCCCACUGUCUCGGGUGAUACAGACUCCCUUGUGAAGUUUGGUCCUGCUAUCCAUUCUAUAGUUCUUGACGAAGAUAUUGUUGUGUGUGAUAUAGCAGAGUUGACAGACACGUUAAUUUUGCUAUUUGGUUUAAUUUAUGCACUUCAUCUCGAUUAUCCAAAGCAAUUGUCCUACACAUUUAAUUUCAUUCAAAAAAUUAUAAUGGGUUUGGAAGACCUGAAGCGGUUACCUCCUAGACUGCUGCUUAGCCUUAAAAAUAAAUUGCUGAUGAUGGAUGAGUAAGCAGUCUGUUCUCCAAAUCUCAUGGUUGGUACUGCCAGCAUGUUAAUACUCAAGCAAGCAAUGGAGCUUUUCGCUUUUAUUUAUGUUGUCCUAUUAUUUUGUUAUUUGAGUAUUAUUACCUUUGUUGAAGUGGUAACAGGUUGUUAUUUCUUUGAUUUUCUGUAUUAACCGCAUUGCUGGGGAUGUUGUUCUGUUAGAAUUCUAUUGGAAUUCUU